AAACCAGCACCUCAAGUGGUCAGGAUGAUUAUUGGGCCUAAAGCAUCCGUAGCCUGCUUUGUAAGUUCUCGGUUAAAUCCAUAUGCUCAACAUAUGGGCUGCCGGGAAUACUGCACAGCUAGGGAGUGGGAGAGGUAGACGGUACUCGGUAGGAAGGGGUAAAAUCCUUUGAUCUAUUGAUGACCACCUGUGGCGAAGGCGGUCUACCAGAACACGUCCGGCGGUGAGGGAUGAAAGCUGGGGGAGCAAACCGGAUUAGAAACCCCGGUAGUCC
rnacentral:rRNA from 1 species